rnacentral:rRNA from 1 species
UACGGAGGGAGCUAGCGUUGUUCGGAAUUACUGGGCGUAAAGCGCACGUAGGCGGCUUUGUAAGUUAGAGGUGAAAGCCCGGGGCUCAACUCCGGAACUGCCUUUAAGACUGCAUCGCUUGAAUCCGGGAGAGGUGAGUGGAAUUCCGAGUGUAGAGGUGAAAUUCGUAGAUAUGGGGAGGAACACCGGUGGCGAAGGCGGCCACCUGGACGGUCACUGACGCUGAGACGCGAAAGCUAGGGGAGCAAACGGG